AUUGAACGCUGGCGGCGUGCCUAACACAUGCAAGUCGAGCGGUAACAGGUGUAGCAAUACAUGCUGACGAGCGGCGGACGGGUGAGUAACGCUUGGGGAAUCUGCCUAUUAGUGGGGGACAACCCGGGGAAACUCGGGCUAAUACCGCAUACGCACUACGGUGGAAAGCCGGGGACCGGCAAGGCCUGGCGCUAACAGAUGAGCCCAAGUCGGAUUAGCUAGUUGGUAGGGAACGGCCUACCAAGGCGACGAUCCGUAACUGGUCUGAGAGGACGACCAGUCACACCGGAACUGAGACACGGUCCGGACUCCUACGGGAGGCAGCAGUGGGGAAUAUUGGACAAUGGGCGAAAGCCUGAUCCAGCGACGCCGCGUGGGUGAAGAA
rnacentral:rRNA from 1 species